rnacentral:rRNA from 1 species
UACAGAGGGUGCGAGCGUUAAUCGGAAUUACUGGGCGUAAAGGGCUCGUAGGCGGCCAACUAAGUCAUACGUGAAAUCCCUCGGCUUAACCGGGGAACUGCGUCUGAUACUGGAUGGCUUGAGAUUGGGAGAGGGAUGCGGAAUUCCAGGUGUAGCGGUGAAAUGCGUAGAUAUCUGGAGGAAUACCGGUGGCGAAGGCGGCAUCCUGGACCGAGAUUGACGCUGAUGAGCGAAAGCUAGGGGAGCAAACGGG